AUGAAGAUGAUGAUGAUGAAG
rnacentral:miRNA from 1 species